CAUACUGUCAUCCUUUCAUAUUUUAUAUGUGAUCCUUUCCUCCUCAGAUGCAUCUUCUCCAAUCGUAUCGAGUGUAGGUGAAUCCAAUAUAUAGGAGACUUUCUCUUGUGUGAGAAUUAUUUUUAAAUUUCUCAACCAAUCCAUAUAAUUUAGUCCGAUCAAUUUAUUUGCAUCUAGUAUGCCUCGAAGUGACAGUGAGGAUGCCAUUUAUGUAGUUAAUCUACAAUAAUAAGAAUACAGUAUAAGCGGACAACUCAUGAUGACAUACACAACUAGAUUAGAACUUUUGUCUAAUUGUAUUUUUUCACUAUUUUGAUGAAUUUCAUAGUCCUCAAGUAUGAAAAAUAAGAAACAUCAUUAUGUUUCUAAGUGGGGUUGAGACCCUUAUUCCUCACAAACACUUAUGGAUAGCACAACAAGCAUUCAUGAGUUUAAGAGUAGAUAACUCUUUACCAAUUGUACUUCAUACAAUUCUCAAUAUUUUUUUCUUACCUCUAAAUUAGUCAUAGUCUUAUGGAUAGCACAACAAACUAUAGUAUUUUAGUUAAGUUAACCCUUCAUUUUCACAUGGUCAUACUUAAACAAUGUUGUCCUUAUGGAUAGCACAACAAGGCAAUACUAUUCAAAUAUGCUAUAAGCAUCAGUAUGCACUUAGUCAACGUCAUAUCAAUUUCUAUAGUAAGCCUUAUGGAUAGCACAACAAGCUCACUAAGGUCUUCACAUACUCUAUUGACUAAGCAUGAAGGAAAGUCUUUUGCAGUGACUACAUUACUAAUCAAUCUAAGUUCAAAACUCAAUAAGAUCAAAUUAGUCAGGUCAGUAGGUGGGAGGCUUUUGGUAGCUUUUCUUAGACACCAACAAAAUUGGCCAGGCCAACAUAUGGACCUAAUUAGAAAACUAUCUUUAACACUUACCUAAACACUAAUUGAUCAAAUAAAUUCGAUAUUUGAUUUGUAAGUGAAUCCCAACACUACAACUUAAUAUGAUUUUUAUAGAGGGUCUUGAACUGGUCUCGGCAUAUCCUAACUACUACAUAAAAUGUAACAUACAAAUUAUGCUAUUCAACAUGCUUUUCAAGUCAUAAUAUCAUUUAUAUUAUCAUGCCAAAAAUGAUUACAAUAAUCAUAUAAGGGUGUGCAAAUGACUUGACAUAUAACAAGUUCAGUCAAUAUAAAAUAAAUCCUAAUCAAAUUAGGCAUGCAAGACAAUACACCGUUAAUCAAAUCGAUUUAAGCACCAAACAUCCAUGAACCAUUAAAUUUCAUAUUAUCACAAAUUUAAAAUUUAAUAACUAAAAUUUAAAUUCAUUGUUCAAAUAAAGUCAAAAAUAAUUUGUAAUUUUAAGACUGAUGCUAGAAAUUGAUGCAACAUUUUGGCAAAAUAUGAAUUAGAUCAAAUCUAUAUUACAACUUUAGCACUUGUUUGAUCAAAUCUAAUAAGGAUGGCUCUGACACCACUGUUGGGUUUUAGUCAUGCAGUAAAAUAUAAAUUUUAAAAAUUUUUAAUAUAUAAAUUGAAAGCUUUAAUAAUUAAAACUGUCGAACCAAAAUUCAAACCCUAGAAUUACCUUGUAGAUAUCGAACAAAACAAAAUCCAAGCAUGCAAAGAAAUAGAAACUUAUACUUCCUCAAAUGAGUAGUAUGGUAAGAAGGUGAUCUUUAUGAGACUUCAAAGUAGAAGUCUUCCAAUGGUGAUCCACAUGAAAGAUGGUCAAGGUCUUUCCCAACCAGUGUACUGCUGCAAUCUUUUCUUCACAAGAACACUGUCAGCUUCAUACUCGAAGAACGAUCGCACCAAUGCUCUAUUGCCUUUGAUUUCUUCACUAAGAUCAUGCCAAGAGAAUUCUCUCUAGAAGCCUCACAACUAAGGAUCUGAUUUUGUACUCCAACACAUGGAAAAAUCAUGCUUUAGGACAAGCACAUCUUACUUGCUAUUUUUCUCACCUCCCUUUUUUUCUAUUUUUUUCACUCUAUUUUUUCUUGUCUUUUCCUCUGAUUUUUUUUAGAUUUUUUUUUCUCUUAUCACACACCU
rnacentral:lncRNA from 1 species